UACGUAGGGUCCGAGCGUUGUCCGGAAUUGUUGGGCGUAAAGAGCUCGUAGGCGGUUUGUCGCGUCUGCUGUGAAAUCCCGAGGCUCAACCUCGGGUCUGCAGUGGGUACGGGCAGACUGGAGUGCGGUAGGGGAGAAUGGAAUUCCUGGUGUAGCGGUGGAAUGCGCAGAUAUCAGGAGGAACACCGAUGGCGAAGGCAGUUCUCUGGGCCGUAACUGACGCUGAGGAGCGAAAGCGUGGGGAGCGAACAGG
rnacentral:rRNA from 1 species